rnacentral:rRNA from 1 species
AUUGAACGCUGGCGGAAUGCUUUACACAUGCAAGUCGAACGGUAGAGGGGGCAACCCCUUGAGAGUGGCGAACGGGUGAGUAAUAUAUCGGAACGUGCCCAGUCGUGGGGAUAACGUAGCGAAAGUUACGCUAAUACCGCAUACGAUCUAAGGAUGAAAGCGGGGGAUCGCAAGACCUCGCGCGAUUGGAGCGGCCGAUAUCAGAUUUAGGUAGUUGGUGAGGUAAAGGCUCACCAAGCCAACGAUCUGUAGCUGGUCUGAGAGGACGACCAGCCACACUGGAACUGAGACACGGUCCAGACUCCUACGGGAGGCAGCAGUGGGGAAUUUUGGACAAUGGACGCAAGUCUGAUCCAGCCAUUCCGCGUGCAGGAUGAAGGCCUUAGGGUUGUAAAGCUCUUUUUACCCGGGAUGAUAAUGACAGUACCGGGAGAAUAAGCUCCGGCUAAACUCCGUGCCAGCAGCCGC